rnacentral:rRNA from 1 species
UACGUAGGUGGCAUGCGUUAUCCGGAUUUAUUGGGCGUAAAGGGAACGCAGGCGGUCUUUUAAGUCUGAUGUGAAAGCCUUCGGCUUAACCGGAGUAGUGCAUUGGAAACUGGGAGACUUGAGUGCAGAAGAGGAGAGUGGAACUCCAUGUGUAGCGGUGAAAUGCGUAGAUAUAUGGAAGAACACCAGUGGCGAAAGCGGCUCUCUGGUCUGUAACUGACGCUGAGGUUCGAAAGCGUGGGUAGCAAACAGG